rnacentral:rRNA from 1 species
UACGUAGGGUGCAAGCGUUGUCCGGAAUUAUUGGGCGUAAAGGGCUCGUAGGCGGUGUGUCGCGUCGGCCGUGAAAACCUGCAGCUUAACUGUGGGCUUGCGGUCGAUACGGGCAUCACUGGAGUUCGGCAGGGGAGACUGGAAUUCCUGGUGUAGCGGUGAAAUGCGCAGAUAUCAGGAGGAACACCGGUGGCGAAGGCGGGUCUCUGGGCCGAUACUGACGCUGAGGAGCGAAAGCGUGGGGAGCGAACAGG